GUGUAUGGCCAUACCACCCUGAGCGUGCCUGAUCACAUCUGGUCUCGGAAGCUAAGCAAGAUUGGGCCUGGUUAGUACUUGGAUGGGAGGCCCAAGGAAUAAGGAGGUUGAGCCUC
rnacentral:rRNA from 1 species